rnacentral:lncRNA from 12 species
AUUAUUAUUUUACAUUUUUUUGCACACUUGAAAUUACAAAGAAAAAUGCUGGAAUUCUGGAUUUUUUGUCUUGCAAUUCUGGGUUUAUAUUUCGCAAGUCUGAUGAGAUUAGGCCCAGUAGUACAGGUCUCCAUAGUUGAUUGAUUACAUUAAGAAAUAAAAAAAAUAAAAAAAUUGUGUAAGGUUUUCUAAAAUGUUGUUUAAAUACGCAAAUGAGGCAUUAUCUAAUUAAAUAUGCACUCAUUAGCAUGCAUUUCCAGAACAUAAAUGCUCUAUAAUUUUGUUGUCAUAUUAGAGUUUAGUAAGGUUUUUUGAAAGAGGAUUUUGGAUUUCUCUUAAUCACUUCAUAAGUCAGAAAAUACUGUCAACACACAGAAAAAAUAAAUGUUUAUAGGAAUAAAAAAAAAAAAUCAUAUUAAUCAGUGGGAGUGAUAUACAGUAUAAACAAACACCUCAGUAAAAGCCUUCUUAUAUAGAUAGAAGAAGAAAAAACUUUUAAAUAUAUGGAUUGGAAUUGGAAUCUGCGAUCUAAAUCAAUAAAAUUAACACUUAAUUGUGUAUUUUGCAUUUAGUCUAAAAAAAAAACACUAGUCUGGAAUAAAAUCUCAGACCUGACCAGUGCAUGAAAGCAUGUUUUUGCCUGGAGUGUCUCACCUUAAAAAUGAGGAACUAGCAAUCCGUCCCACUCUCUUCCUGAUGUCAUGACAUUGGCUGUGUGUGUGUGUGUGUGUGUGUGUGUGUGUGUGUGUGUGUGUGUGUGUGUGGCAUCAUGUGUUGUCCACUAGGGGUCCCGCUGUGUGUGAGGGGCCGGUGGGAGGGGCCGCCUCGCUCUCAGAGGAACGGCAGUGGAUUGGUGACACCGAGUGGUUGUUUUCGUGAGACCAGAGGAAACCACCAUCUGCUCCAGACGGUCCAUCACAGGAGGAGAACCACAGCAAAACCAGCAUAAAAACACCUCCAUCACACUGCUGAGAGUGUGCAGCUGGACCACACACACACACACACACACACACACACACACACACAGACUGACACACAGACA